rnacentral:lncRNA from 1 species
GAGGCUGUUUUUCAGUGUCCAGGGACUGAGAUUGGUUCAGAAUAUAUGAGUGAUAUUGAGUCUCCAUUGCAUUGUCAGACAAGGGCUUCUGUAUACCGAAUCCGUGAGCCUAGCUUGUUAGAUUCUUUUCCCAUGCAUGAUAGACUACCUAAGACUCUUCCUGCUGUGGAAGUGCUCUCUCUUCCUGCUUCUGAACCCAAAUCCCAUAGCUUGUUAGAUUCUUUUCCCAUGCAUGAUAGACUACCUAAGGCUCUUCCUGCUGUGGAAGUGCUCUCUCUUCCUGCUUCUGAACCCAAAUCUCUUUCACAGCCUGUUGGCAGGUUACCUGGACCUCAUCACCUUGGCCAAGGCAAACCACUGCUUGCAUUGCCCCUUUCUGAGGGGACUUUGAGU